rnacentral:misc_RNA from 1 species
GAAAUGCGAUAAUUAAUGUGAAUUGCAGAAUUCAGUGAAUCAUCGAGUCUUUGAACGCACAUUGCGCCCCCUGGUAUUCCGGGGGUCAUGCCUGUCCGAGCGUCAUUGCUGCCCUCAAGCACGGCUUGUGUGUUGGGCUUCCGUCCCUGGCAACGGGGACGGGCCCAAAAGGCAGUGGCGGCACCAUGUCUGGUCCUCGAGCGUAUGGGGCUUUGUCACCCGCUCCCGUAGGUCCAGCUGGCAGCUAGCCUCGCAACCAAUCUUUUUAACCAGGUUGACCUCGGAUCAGGUAGGGAUACCCGCUGAACUUAAGC